CCUACGGGAGGCAGCAGUGGGGAAUUUUGGACAAUGGGCGAAAGCCUGAUCCAGCAAUGCCGCGUGAGUGAAGAAGGCCUUCGGGUUGUAAAGCUCUUUUGUCAGGGAAGAAACGGUGUUUUCUAAUACAGAAUGCUAAUGACGGUACCUGAAGAAUAAGCACCGGCUAACUACGUGCCAGCAGCCGCGGUAAUACGUAGGGUGCAAGCGUUAAUCGGAAUUACUGGGCGUAAAGCGUGCGCAGGCGGUUUUGUAAGUCUGACGUGAAAUCCCCGGGCUCAACCUGGGAAUUGCGUUGGAGACUGCAAGGCUAGAGUUUGGCAGAGGGGGGUUAGAAUUCCACGUGUAGCAGUGAAAUGCGUAGAUAUGUGGAGGAACACCGAUGGCGAAGGCAGCCCCCUGGGUCAAGACUGACGCUCAUGCACGAAAGCGUGGGGAGCAAACAGGAUUAGAUACCCUGGUAGUCCACGCCCUAAACGAUGUCUACUAGUUGUCGGGUACUUAAUUGACUUGGUAACGCAGCUAACGCGUGAAGUGCCGCCUGGGGAUCGGUCGCAGNUAAACGCAAAUGAAUUGACCGGNUGAGACGNGCGACGACGACGACGAGGAGGAGG
rnacentral:rRNA from 1 species